rnacentral:snRNA from 1 species
UGGCCUUCUCAGCCUUUUGGCUAAGAUCAAGGGUAGUAUCUGUUCCUAUCAGUUUAAAAAAUACCAUUUGAUCAUUUAUCAGAAGAUCUGAGCUGUCCUCCAGAUGCAAUGACUGAUUAGCUCUUCCCCU